AGACGAAGAGUCGCUGAACGUGUGAAAUACGGUAAAGCUCUCCUUCAUAGAGCCUUGAAAAGAGUAACUUUUAGUUUUUCCAUUGUAUACCGGAAGUAGGGAUUUCGACUUUGGUUCUGCCCGGUCCCUGCCUAAACUGUAGGUUGUUGAGAGCUUUCUCUUUAUGCCUUCCCUUUCUUUAACCAAAUCACUGAGUUUCUCCAGUACUUCGUGGGCUACUGCUUCCUCUGCAGCUUUUUGUUCAAGCUCUGUAAUCGUCCUAUCAAAUGCUUGCUUCUGGAGUCGUAGAGAACGCUACAUAAUGUGAAUGGUUCAAUGAACAGCGGUAAACUAGUAGCCAAUCUACAUCAAGAAGCUGUUCGUUCAUGAAAUUAAUACUGUUGAGAGAGAAUAAUGAACUAAAGCUUACUCUUUUCUCUAGAAACUCCCCAAGGUCGAGUUUUUGAAGCUUCUUUUUCUUCCAAAACGUGAGGCAAUAUCGUACGACUAUUGCUAGUACCAUCAGUAGUAUUGAUUCAAACAAAAGAAAUAACAGAAUCGUCCUCUUGUUACCUGCAUAGAGGAAAAUACCAGAUCUCAGUUGUUGAAGGUAACAAAAUCACUUUAUAGUGCCAAGUUACCUGUGUAGAUGUUGAUACUCUUGGGCCUCCCUCCUGAGCAGCUAGACGCAAGCUUCUGACCUGGAGGAAGUACAGGAUACUUAGAGCAGAAAAAUACAGAAUAAGCCACUUACAGAAGUAUUUAUUUCUGGUGCAUAAGCAUAAGUUGCUGGGACGGGUAAAAGAAAGUUACGCAUGGUACGGCAAGGCAAUGGAUUUCCAUUCCCUGCAUGACGAAAAAAAUAGACAUUUAAGGCUUAAAUGCAACUAGAGAUUCAAGUGAUCGAUACAUGACUGAAGAAUUUUUGAAAAGGAAAUCAACUAUGUUAAUUCAGCUCAGAAACAAAAUGAUAAUGCGAAAAUACAACUAAAAAUUUGAUCCUCAUUUUAAAGAACGUCGACAAUUUUUUUUGGAUAACUGUGAUUGAGGGCUAUUUUUUGAUUGAUGAAAUGUUAAAAAUAAGUAUGUGAGGAAAAAAAUUAAGGAUAAAAACAUGAUAAUAAAUAAUGGUUAAUGACCUUUAUUUUAAUUAAAAAAUAACGUAUCUAUAUAUAAAAAUAUAGAUAUGGGGUGAAUAUAACCAUCCAUUGUAUAUAAUUAUAACUUAUGAUUUUCCUCAUGUAUAUUAUUUUAAUAGAGUUCAUAUAGUUCUUAUUAAUUAAAUAUAAAUUUCACUAAAUGUUUGACAGCUUGAAGCCAAUUACUCAAAAUAUAUUUUCUUUUAUAUUUAUGAGACAACGAGGUCAUCUUACUCAAACAAAUUUCACUUCAUUUUUUUGCAUACUUCUCUUCGUAUUUCUUUUCUAUUAAGUCAAUAAGAGCAUCUUCAAUACAUUCAUUCUCAGACAUCGCCUCCAGUUACUACCCCAAUUGCAAGAUGUGGUCUCCAUUUCUAAAAGUGCAAGAUGGUUCCUCAAAGAUAAAUCUUCUUGGACAGCCCUGUCCAAACAGAGCGAGCAAUGAGGGGGCGCGUACGGAUAGUGGUCCUGUCUGUCCAGCACAGUCCGAUUCCUCAAACAAUUGUCAGUAUAGUACCGGCUGCACAUUCAUCAUUUCCAGAUAGUUUGAUAUAGGACUACUGUUCUUUUGAAUUGAAGGGGUUGAUAGACGUGUAAUCAAUAAUUGUUAAUAUUUGUAAUCCAUUUUUAUCUAAUUCCCGCGAACUACAGCCGAAAUAAUAAUGGAACUGCAAUCAAUCCAAUAUUUGACACCUAUCUGAACACGAUUAAAAAAAGUUUGUUUUCUCUCAUGUCAUCAAAGUAGCUUUUCUUAACAAAUUUAACAGGUAUAAGAAGAGGUAGUCGAGUUGCUGACGUGCACAUAUAAAACCAUUAGCUCGAUAAAACCACUUUACAGCAUGACAAAAAUUGUCGUGACUGAAAAAAAUAGUGUGGAACUUCAUUUCUAUGUAUCAUCUGUUUUUAAAAGACAACCUAGAACAGAAUGUUGCAGUAGCUAGUUAGUUGAACAGAAUGUUGCAGUAGCUAGUUAGUUGAGGACAUGCUUCUCUUCCUGAUGUUCCCACCGCGACUAUGAACAAUUCCUUUUACCUUUUCGUCACUCUUCAUUUUCACUUCCUCUAUUUCACUGAAUGAAUGAUCUCGAAUCAAUGGAUUGACAGUACCUUUUAGGCUUGAUUCCGCCCUAUACUCUUUCGUGUGAAUCUCAUCAUCACUAGAAGUAUCGUCUUCUACUGGACCCUUCCCCUUAGCCUCGACUGCCAGUUCUUUAUGUUCGGUAGGAUUCUUAUCACGCUCUUCUUUGCUGCUGCUGUCUGCAGACGAAGAGUCGCUGAACGUGUGAAAUACGGUAAAGCUCUCCUUCAUAGAGCCUUGAAAAGAGUAACUUUUAGUUUUUCCAUUGUAUACCGGAAGUAGGGAUUUCGACUUUGGUUCUGCCCGGUCCCUGCCUAAACUGUAGGUUGUUGAGAGCUUUCUCUUUAUGCCUUCCCUUUCUUUAACCAAAUCACUGAGUUUCUCCAGUACUUCGUGGGCUACUGCUUCCUCUGCAGCUUUUUGUUCAAGCUCUGUAAUCGUCCUAUCAAAUGCUUGCUUCUGGAGUCG
rnacentral:lncRNA from 1 species